ensembl:lncRNA
UUAUUUCCUGGGAUGCUCUGGUGACACUUUGGGAUCUGUAAUUACUUUCCAGGAUGUUCCAGUGUCACUUUUGGGAUCUGUAAUUAUUUUCCGGGGCGUUCUAGUGACUCUUUUGGGAUCUGUAAUCAUUUCCGGGACGCUCCAGGAGCUCCGGCUGCUCCUCCCGAGCGCAGCGCGACCUUCCCCUCUCUGAUUUUCCCAAAACCCCGGGAAUUUCAGCCCCCAAAUCCGGGAAUUUUAUGACCCAAACCCCAGGAAUUCUGGCUCCAAAAACCUUCUUUUUAUAUCUGCUAUAUAGCGACCCUAAUCAGCAGCCCCACCCCCUGCGUGGAGUCCCAGACCCCCAAAAUCCCAGAUUUCCCAAUCCCAAACCUCCUGUUUUUUUGGGGGAUGAUUUGCCCCCACUGAAUUUUGGGUGGGGAAAGGGGAUUUUUUGGGAUUGGGAGGUUGGAACAACGCCCCCGGCGCCGGCGGAACGCGAGGCCGCAAAUCGCGGGGGCGCUGAUCCCAUAAAACGCGGUGACGGGAGCAGCCGGAGCCGCCGGCGGUGAUUGAUGGCAGCGCCUCCCGGGGGGGGGGGGGGGGGGGGGGGGGGGGGGGGGGGGGGGGGGGGGGGGGGGGGGGGGGGGGGGGGGGGGGGGGGGGGGGGGGGGGGGGGGGGGGGGGGGGGGGGGGGGGGGGGGGGCCGCUCUUCCGAUCUGUCCAGCUGGGGCAGGGUCCCAUCCAUCACCUUCUUCCCAGUCCUUAACUGGGGCAGGGACUUCCCAAACUGCUUUCCCCUCGCCCUAAACUGGCCCAGGGCCCCACCUAUCAUCUUCCUCCCAGUUCCCAACUGGUCUGACUGGUACAGAGACCCUCCAGGCUCCUUCCCCCCAGUCCCAAACUGGGGCAGGGACCUCCCAGCCUCCUUCCCCCCAGUCCCAAAUUGGUCAGACUGGGACUUGAACCCUCCAGGCUGCUUCCCCCCAGUCCCAAACUGGGGCAGGGACCCUCCAGGCUCCUUCCCUCCAAUCCCAAACAUGGGAUGGGACAGGGCCCCAUCCAUCAGCUUCCUCCCAGUCCCCAACUGGGGCAGGGCUCCAUCCACCACCUUCGCCCGAACCUCAAACUGGGGCAGGGACCUCCCAGCCUCCUUCCCCCCAGUCCCAAAUUGGUCAGACUGGGACGGGGGGGGGGGGGGGGGGGGGGGGGGGGGGGGGGGGGGGGGGGGGGGGGGGGGGGGGGGGGGGGGGGGGGGG